ACGAGAUGCUGUUUUGUGGAAGAAAGAAAAUCACGGCACAAGGAAGCAUGCAGUCGAGGUCUGGCUGUCGCAGGUCUUCUGGCCAACCACAUUUAACCAAGAAGUGAUGCUGCGUGUGAAGGAAAUGGCAUCCUGUAAUGCAGUGGUUUUAGAAGAAUCCAAAUGCCUGGUGAGGAGCAUAUCAUGUCAGUCUGGAGGAGGUGAAUGAGAAGGCAGUGUCAGAUUGCUGAAGCAGCUGUGGUGUUCAACCAAAGACUAGAGGCACUCUUUCAGUUAUCUGCAAAACAAGACGUAAGAGAAAAUGAGCAUCCACACCCACCAGAAAAACUGAUUGAUGUGGAUCAAAGGUAUCCAUAGUAGAGGGACAUCCUUGAUGAAAAUGUGCAGUCUCAAACUAAAGGAACAGUUGCAUUAAGGGUCUUUGUUUCCAUCCAUCAGCAGAGGGGAUUCUCUGGAGUUCUGUUUGCUCACAUGUCUACCAACAACAACUUCCUGGUAUUCUUCUAUUGUGAAUCUACUUCUGUUAUAUAUUUAUUGGACCCAUAACUGUCCAGCUGUUUAUUAUAGAAAUCAAAGAGCAAAGGCCCAAAUGUGCAUUGCCUAAGUAAAGUCUGAAGGGGGUUUCUUCAGGGAGGUACAGUGUUUCUGUACAUAUGUGUCUUUGAAAAUUAUCAGGAUGUAUGAAAUCAGUUAAUGUCUGAGAGCACAUAAAUAGGUGAUAAUAUAUAUGUUAAAAUAUAUUUAUUUCAAUUGUGUAAAAGAGUUGCUUUCUGAAUAGAAGGAUUUUCUUUUUGUCACUUAUUGUUUUGAAUUGAAAUCAUGGUUUUCAUGGGGACACUGUUUCUCGAUCCUUACGUGCACAUUCCAUCCUCUCUAUUAAAGAGAAAAUGGCCGCAAAUACUCAUAUGCUCAUACAAUCAGUUGGAUCACAUUAGUGCUCUGAGUCUUCAUUAAACACUCUGGAUAAUUAAAACAUACUACUUACACUAUUCAUUUGUCAUACUGUAGACGUCUAUUUAUCUUUCAUUACGUCUAGUCUAUUACACAGAAAACAGCCAGGUAAAUUGUGUUACAAUAAUCUCAUUACAUUUGCUUCUGUCACAUGAAACCAACGAUAAGUGCUUCUGUUAGUGAGGAGACUAUAAUAUCCUCAUUUUUAUCAACAUCCAUCUGUCCUGAGUUAUUUUAUUAUUUUCUUCUAUUUAUUCAAUCGAAAUUCCAUUGAGGUUAGGAUUUCUUUGAAGGGACACUUAAAUUCAAUGCAAAUCAGAGAGAUAAAUGGAAAUAGACAACAAUGGAAGCUUUAUGUGAAGGCUAGCACUGAGUAUACAAACAUGUCUACCCUUAAUCAGAUGGCAUCUUGAGUUGAGUACUAAAUCACUUUGUGAUUAAAUACAUCGCUGGCACGUAUCUCAUGAUAAACUACCAGGAUUAGUGGUAGAUUUUAUCCCAUUUAAUUUACGCUACAUUUAGUAGCCGUGCUCAGUACUGUGUUGGCUAGUAGGUCUACGUAUAACAAGGCUUCCAGUUAACAAUGCAGAUAUUAUCGUUUAAAAUGUGUGAUCAUUAUGUUGAUAUGAGUUGACAGUUUUUUUUGUUGCUUGGAUGUUUAGAGCACACAAAAGAGAUAAGUGUUUGGUCCUGAUGGUAAUCACAUUGUGACUACACUAAUUGUCAGUGAUCGAUAUUGUGGAAAUGCAACAGUCGUAUAGUUGGAGUCUACUUUGUCCUUAUCUGCAUGUGAGGAGUAAAGAUAAAGUACAUUUUCAAUUGAUGUACAUUAUAUGUAGGGCUCUAUUUCGUUUUACCAUAAGAAUGUAGGUUUGUGAAAAUUGUUUUGUAAAAAAAAAGACAUUUGUCCAUGCAGUAUAGAAUAAUAUAUAAUGUAGACUGCUUUGUGUGACUAAUGGCAUGUCAUAUACUGUACAUAUCAUGUGUUGCCUGUCUGUAUACCUUGUAUGUCGGGCUAUAUUUUGUAUAAAUAUUGUAAGUAUUGUUAGAAA